rnacentral:ribozyme from 15 species
GAAGAAAGUGUGAAGUGGGACAAGUGUUUUUUUUUUUUUUUUUUUUUCCCUUUUUUUUUUUUUUUUUGGUUU